GUGAGGAAUAUUGGUCAAUGGGCGAGAGCCUGAACCAGCCAAGUCGCGUGAAGGAAGAAGGAUCUAUGGUUCGUAAACUUCUUUUGCAGGGGAAUAAAGUGCAGGACGUGUCCUGUUUUGUAUGUACCCUGAGAAUAAGGAUCGGCUAACUCCGUGCCAGCAGCCGCGGUAAUACGGCGGAUCCGAGCGUUAUCCGGAUUUAUUGGGUUUAAAGUGUGCGUAGGUGGUUUGAUAAGUCAGCGGUGAAAGUUUGCAGCUUAACUGUAAAAAUGCCGUUGAAACUGUCGGACUUGAGUGUAAAUGAGGUAGGCGGAAUGCGUGGUGUAGCGGUGAAAUGCAUAGAUAUCACGCAGAACUCCGAUUGCGAAGGCAGCUUACUAAGCUACAACUGACACUGAAGCACGAAAGCGUGGGGAUCAAACAGGAUUAGAAACCCCUGUAGUCC
rnacentral:rRNA from 1 species